GACGAACGCUGGCGGCGCGCCUAAUACAUGCAAGUUGAGCGCUGAAGGUUGGUACUUGUAUCAACUGGAUGAGCAGCGAACGGGUGAGUAACGCGUGGGGAAUCUGCCUUUGAGCGGGGGACAACAUUUGGAAACGAAUGCUAAUACCGCAUAAAAACUUUAAACACAAGUUUUAAGUUUGAAAGAUGCAAUUGCAUCACUCAAAGAUGAUCCCGCGUUGUAUUAGCUAGUUGGUGAGGUAAAGGCUCACCAAGGCGAUGAUACAUAGCCGACCUGAGAGGGUGGUCGGCCACAUUGGGACUGAGACACGGCCCAAACUCCUACGGGAGGCAGCAGUAGGGAAUCUUCGGCAAUGGACGAAAGUCUGACCGAGCAACGCCGCGUGAGUGAAGAAGGUUUUCGGAUCGUAAAACUCUGUUGGUAGAGAAGAACGUUGGUGAGAGUGGAAAGCUCAUCAAGUGACGGUAACUACCCAGAAAGGGACGGCUAACUACGUG
rnacentral:rRNA from 1 species